rnacentral:rRNA from 1 species
AGUGAACGCUGGCGGUAGGCCUAACACAUGCAAGUCGAACGGCAGCACAGUAAGAGCUUGCUCUUACGGGUGGCGAGUGGCGGACGGGUGAGGAAUACAUCGGAAUCUACUUUUUCGUGGGGGAUAACGUAGGGAAACUUACGCUAAUACCGCAUACGACCUACGGGUGAAAGCAGGGGAUCUUCGGACCUUGCGCGAUUGAAUGAGCCGAUGUCGGAUUAGCUAGUUGGCGGGGUAAAGGCCCACCAAGGCGACGAUCCGUAGCUGGUCUGAGAGGAUGAUCAGCCACACUGGAACUGAGACACGGUCCAGACUCCUACGGGAGGCAGCAGUGGGGAGUAUUGGGCAAUGGGCGCAAGCCUGAUCCAGCCAUACCGCGUGGGUGAAGAAGGCCUUCGGGUUGUAAAGCCCUUUUGUUGGGAAAGAAAAGCAGCAGGUUAAUACCCCGCUGUUCUGACGGUACCCAAAGAAUAAGCACCGGCUAACUUCGUG